GGCUUUAUAGUCAAUUAUGAUAUUAGACUGCAAUUCUAAAGGAGAAAAUUUUAAUUUCUAAGGCUU
rnacentral:tRNA from 1 species